GAUAGCAAUGCGUUGCAGAUGGAAGCCAUAGCAAGGAUCUAAACGAGCUAUUGUGGAAGAUGGCGAUGGAAUUUCAAAUAUGGACUUUACAAAACGUGCAAAUGCCAUGGAGAAAAUCCCGCGACUUGCAAAUAACUAGACAGCAGAAUACUACGUGAAAAUACACCCAUCCCAUGUAGAAGAGAGUUUAACACAAAACUCAUUACAUAAAUACAAGUUCAUUGUAACAACAAACUGGUACCAAACAUUAACGAUCCAACAAAACCGCAAAUGCAGCAAGAGGUAAGAUGCCAACGCAUGACGCUUUGUGAGAACGAGCUUGCUUACUACUGAUAUGAUGGAAUUUGCACACAAUUU